rnacentral:rRNA from 1 species
UUCCGGUUGAUCCUGCCGGACCUGACUGCUAUCGGAUUGNUACUAAGCCAUGCGAGUCUUUGUAGCAAUACAAGGCAGACGGCUCAGUAACACGUAGUCAAUCUACCCUAUGGACGGGGAUAACCUCGGGAAACUGAGAAUAAUACCCGAUAGAUCAUUAUGCCUGGAAUGGUUUAUGGUUCAAAUGAUUUUUCGCCAUAGGACGGGACUGCGGUCUAUCAGCUUGUUGGUGAGGUAAUGGCCCACCAAGGCUAUAACAGAUACGGGCUCUGAGAGGAGAAGCCCGGAGAUGGGUACUGAGACACGGACCCAGGUCCUAUGGGGCGCAGCAGGCGAGAAAACUUUGCAAUGUGCGAAAGCACGACAAGGUUAAUCCGAGUGUUUUCUGCUAAAGAAAUCUUUUGUCAGUCCUAAAAACACUGACGAAUAAGGGGUGGGCAAGUUCUGGUGUCAGCCGCCGCGGUAAAACCAGCACCUCAAGUGGUCAGGAGGAUUAUUGGGCCUAAAGCAUCCGUAGCCUGCUCUGUAAGUUUUCGGUUAAAUCUAUAUGCUCAACAUAUAGGCUGCCGGGAAUACUGCAGAGCUAGGGAGUGGGAGAUGUAGAUGGUACUCGGUAGGAAGGGGUAAAAUCCUUUGAUCUAUUGAUGACCACCUGUGGCGAAGGCGGUCUACUAAACACGUUCGACGGUGAGGGAUGAAAGCUGGGGGAGCAAACCGGAUUAGAUACCCGGGUAGUCCNAGCUGUAAAUAUGCAAAUCAGUGA